rnacentral:ncRNA from 1 species
CCUAUUGUUUCGCCAAUAGUAGCCUACGGCAGGUGCGUCUUAUGAUGUACCAAGCUGCUCGGACAAGGUAACCCUCCCGAAAGGGUCGAGAAUGAACCGUGAGGGGACUUCAAGAACCGCAAGCAUUAUGUGGUUGGGGA